AUCCAGCUGACGAGUCUCAAAUGGGACGAAACGGGCCUUGUCCUGUAU
rnacentral:hammerhead_ribozyme from 1 species